rnacentral:rRNA from 1 species
CCUACGGGAGGCAGCAGUAGGGAAUAUUGCUCAAUGGGGGAAACCCUGAAGCAGCAACGCCGCGUGGAGGAUGAAGGUUUUCGGAUUGUAAACUCCUUUUGUUAGAGAAGAUAAUGACGGUAUCUAACGAAUAAGCACCGGCUAACUCCGUGCCAGCAGCCGCGGUAAUACGGGGGGUGCAAGCGUUACUCGGAAUCACUGGGCGUAAAGAGCGCGUAGGCGGGAUAGAAAGUCAGAUGUGAAAUCCUAUGGCUUAACCAUAGAACUGCAUUUGAUAAUGUUAUUCUAGAGUAUGGGAGAGGUAGGUGGAAUUCUUGGUGUAGGGGUAAAAUGCGUAGAGAUCAAGAGGAAUACUCAUUGCGAAGGCGACCUGCUAGAACAUAACUGACGCUGAUGCGCGAAAGCGUGGGGAGCAAACAGGAUUAGAUACCCGAGUAGUC